AGCAGCCGCGGUAAUUCCAGCUCCAAUAGCGUAUAUUAAAGUUGUUGCAGUUAAAAAAGCUCGUAGUUGAAUUUCGGGAUUAGUACGCUGGUCGUGCCUUAGGUAUGCACUGGUGUUACUGGUUCCUACCUUCUGACGAACCGUCAUGUCAUUAAUUUGGUGUGGCGGGGAAUCAGGACUGUUACUUUGAAAAAAUUAGAGUGUUUAAAGCAGGCUCGCGCUUGAAUACAUUAGCAUGGAAUAAUGAAAUAGGACGUUCGAUCCUAUUUUGUUGGUUUCUAGGAUUGACGUAAUGAUUAAUAGGGAUAGUUGGGGGGCAUUAGUAUUCAAUUGUCAGAGGUGAAAUUCUUGGAUUUAUUGAAGACUAACUACUGCGAAAGCAUUUGCCAAGGAUGUUUUCAUUAAUCAAGAACGAAAGUUAGGGGAUCGAAGAC
rnacentral:rRNA from 1 species